AAAUUGAAGAGUUUGAUCAUGGCUCAGAUUGAACGCUGGCGGCAGGCCUAACACAUGCAAGUCGAACGGUAACAGGAAGAAGCUUGCUUCUUUGCUGACGAGUGGCGGACGGGUGAGUAAUGUCUGGGAAACUGCCUGAUGGAGGGGGAUAACUACUGGAAACGGUAGCUAAUACCGCAUAACGUCGCAAGACCAAAGAGGGGGACCUUCGGGCCUCUUGCCAUCGGAUGUGCCCAGAUGGGAUUAGCUAGUAGGUGGGGUAACGGCUCACCUAGGC
rnacentral:rRNA from 1 species